GUGUCAGCAGCCGCGGUAAUACGGAGGGUGCAAGCGUUACUCGGAAUCACUGGGCGUAAAGAGCGUGUAGGCGGGUAUAUAAGUCAGAAGUGAAAUCCUAUAGCUUAACUAUAGAACUGCUUUUGAAACUGUAUACCUAGAAUGUGGGAGAGGUAGAUGGAAUUUCUGGUGUAGGGGUAAAAUCCGUAGAGAUCAGAAGGAAUACCGAUUGCGAAGGCGAUCUACUGGAACAUUAUUGACGCUGAGACGCGAAAGCGUGGGGAGCAAACAGGAUUAGAUACCCUCGUAGUCC
rnacentral:rRNA from 1 species